rnacentral:tRNA from 1 species
GGCGGUGUACCCGAGCGGUCUAAGGGGAACGGAUUACAAAUCCGUUAUUCGUGGGUUCGAAUCCCACCACCGCCU